rnacentral:misc_RNA from 1 species
GUCGAUGUGGUGUUUGUGGACCAGCUAUAGUUAGUAGACUUUUGGAGGAAAUAGAAUCAAAUGGUCUUCAAGGAAAAGUAUCUGUUAGUCCAUGCUCACACAUCGGGGGGCACAAGUUUGCUGGAAAUGUGAUCAUAUAUGGACGAAACACUCACAAGGAAGUCUCCGGACACUGGUAUGGCUAUGUUACACCUGAUGAUGUACCACAGUUGCUUGAACAGCAUGUUGCUAAAGGAGAGAUUG